AAGAGGACAAGUGAAUCAGGGUUGCUGUGGUCCAGCAGGACAUCUUCCAGGAGGGCAUGCUGCAUAGGUGCUGGUCCAGUGUGUGCCUGGCUGUAUCUUUGCAAGUUUUCCAUGAACAGUGGCUGAAUUUGCACUGUGGAACCAAGGACACAGAGAAUCUCAUCGAUUACAAGCAAACCCCAGCACUGUUUGAAAUGACAGCGUUGUGUGGACAAAUGGGUACUCAGCGGUCACCAGGUGCCCCGGCCCCACCCUGCUCCUGGUGUCCCUGCAAAAGGAACCUUGAUGUGGUUGGAUCCAGUUAGACCCUGGACGCUGCCAGGGUGAGCAGAACUUCUUGGUCACAUCUGGGGCCACUCUUGAGUAUAUUCUGACUCUCCAGUCUCCAUCAUAGUGACCAGGGACUGGGGAAGGAGGGAGAGGUAACAGGGACAGGCACA
rnacentral:lncRNA from 1 species